UAGGUCGCGUGUGUCGAGUCGAAGUGCGGAUUUAUCGAGUGAAAAACGAUAGCAUCGAUCCAUUGCUGCGAUUAACAUCGCGCACAUCGUAAUCUAAUUAUACACGGCAUUAAAAUCUCGUAUCUUGUAACGCCCGAAUCGAGUUAAUUUCUGCAUAAUAUCGGUCGCAAGUAUGAGCCGGGGCAGGAGCCGCGAGUGCCGCUUGAAGUUAGCCGGGCAUCUUUUUCAUCGCUGACGGAAAUACGGUGUAUCGCGUCGAGAGUGCGCCAGUUUUGGCGAAUAAACUUUCCGCAAACGUAUCUUCCGGAAAAAGUCGGGAGCGAAUAAAUUUUACGUACUAUCCGAACAAAAAAUAUCGAGUGCUCCGAAAAAAAUUUUGUCGCGUUUUUACAGUCGAUCGCGUCGGUAGUCCGAAAUUACGUAUUUUCGAGCAGUAUUUUUAAUAAAAUUAGUGUGAAAAUUGCAUCGUCGAGAAUAAAUGUCGCCAGAUUAGCUGCAGCCUGCACAUGUACAACACCCCCCAUUCGACAACACAUGUUGACGUCAAAUUGUAAGCAGUCCGGUCAACGAUUUCUGUGGAUCGCUUAUGAAAUUCUUUUGAAAAGGAAAGUCAGCAAAAUUUUGCAGCGAAAGAAGUUCAACAAAGAGUUGCAUUGCUGAUAAGCUGCGCGCAAGUUUGACUGCGGAAUUCUCGAGUGCCGAAAGGACGUUGCUUUGUGCGAUUUUUGCAUCGUUUUUCCACGGUUUUCACGAGUAUUGCCACAAGGACCAAGAGAGACAGCAGAUCAACUGCGAGAUAAACACUGAUAAGCUGCAUUCGUGUUUGACUGCGAGAUUGUCGAGUGCCGAAAUUGUUGCUUCGUGUAAUUAUAGUUUUUUUUUUAUUGUACAAUGUACGUAAAAUAUGCGCACAAUUAAUUAACGCGUCGGGAGUGCCGUGUAAAGUGUCGGGCAAUCGUAAUUAUUCGUGUAGUAUUUUUCGCGAGUGUCGUGAGUGCUACAAAGGAGCAAUGAUGAUCGGCCAAGAGAGGCGAAGGAGAUCCAGAGAGGCAUCGGGCGACAGCGGGGCAACUAUGAGAUCAAUAGGUAUGUGCUGUGUACUACAACUCCGCUCUUGCACGCGUAUCGGUUCCCCUAUUCGUGAGCGGGAAUGACGUCAUCGCCAUUUAAAUCUAUGAAACGAAGACUGGAAGAAUGCGGAAGAAUGGAGGAGAAAAAUGAAGGCUCUCGCGAAGAAAUCGCGAGCAAACGAGCUCGACUUCGCCGCAAAGCGCCGAUUGUGAUGCGAAGGGCCCCGUUACACACCUCGAGUCUCGAGUGUGGCGUCGCUGCACAGCUUGGCGUGUUCUCUCAAAAAAUAAGGAAAAAGACGGAAGAAGAAAGAGAGAGGAAGAGAAGAAAGAA